UACGGGGGGGGCAAGCGUUGUUCGGAAUUACUGGGCGUAAAGGGCUCGUAGGUGGCCGACUAAGUCGGACGUGAAAUCCCUCGGCUUAACCGGGGAACUGCAUCUGAUACUGGAUGGCUUGAGUUUGGGAGAGGGACGCGGAAUUCCAGGUGUAGCGGUGAAAUGCGUAGAUAUCUGGAGGAACACCGGUGGCGAAGGCGGCGUCCUGGACCAACACUGACACUGAGGAGCGAAAGCCAGGGGAGCAAACGGG
rnacentral:rRNA from 1 species